rnacentral:rRNA from 1 species
GUGGGGUAGUCGCACGAGCGCACCCUUGUCCUUAUUUGCCACCAGGUUAAGCCGGGAACUUUAAGGAUACUGCCAGUGACAAACUGGAGGAAGGGGGGGACGACGUCAAGUCAUCGUGGCCCUUAGGACCAGGGCUACACACGUGCUACGGUGGUCGGUACAAAGGGUUGCUACCUAGCGAUAGGAUGCUAAUCUCAAAAAGCCGAUCGUAGUCCGGAUUGGAGUCUGCAACUCUACUCCAUGAAGUCGGAAUCGCUAGUAAUCGCGGAUCAGAAUGCCGCGGUGAAUACGUUCCCGGGCCUUGUACACGCAGCCAGUA